rnacentral:rRNA from 1 species
AGCGAACGCUGGCGGCAGGCCUAACACAUGCAAGUCGAGCGGGGUGAUGGUGCUUGCACUAUCACUUAGCGGCGGACGGGUGAGUAAUGCUUAGGAAUCUGCCUAUUAGUGGGGGACAACAUCUCGAAAGGGAUGCUAAUACCGCAUACGUCCUACGGGAGAAAGCAGGGGUUCACUUGUGACCUUGCGCUAAUAGAUGAGCCUAAGUCGGAUUAGCUAGUUGGUGGGGUAAAGGCCUACCAAGGCGACGAUCUGUAGCGGGGCUGAGAGGAUGAUCCGCCACACUGGGACUGAGACACGGCCCAGACUCCUACGGGAGGCAGCAAUGGGGAAUAUUGGACAAUGGGGGGAACCCUGAUCCAGCCAUGCCGCGUGUGUGAAGAAGGCCUUAUGGUUGUAAAGCACUUUAAGCGAGGAGGAGGCUCUUUUGGUUAAUACCCAAGAUGAGUGGACGUUACUCGCAGAAUAAGCACCGGCUAACUCUGUGCCAGCCGCCGCUGUAAGAC